UACAGGGGGGGCAAGCGUUGUUCGGAAUUACUGGGCGUAAAGGGCUCGUAGGUGGCCAACUAAGUCAGACGUGAAAUCCCUCAGCUUAACUGGGGAACUGCGUCUGAUACUGGAUGGCUUGAGUUUGGGAGAGGGAUGCGGAAUUCCAGGUGUAGCGGUGAAAUGCGUAGAUAUCAGGAGGAACACCUGUGGCGAAAGCGGCUCACUGGACCAUAACUGACGCUGAUGCACGAAAGCUAGGGGAGCAAACAGG
rnacentral:rRNA from 1 species